GAUGAACGCUGGCGGCGUGCCUAAUACAUGCAAGUCGAGCGAACGGACGAGAAGCUUGCUGCUCUGAUGUUAACGGCGGACGGGUGAGUAACACGUGGAUAACCUACCUAUAAGACUGGGAUAACUUCGGGAAACCGGUGCUAAUCCCGGAUAAUAUUUUGAACCGCAUGGUUCAAAAGUGAAAGACGGUCUUGCUGUCACUUAUAGCUGCAUCCGCGCUGCAUUAGCUAGUUGGUAAGGUAACGGCUUACCAAGGCAACGAUGCAUAGCCGACCUGAGAGGGUGAUCGGCCACACUGGAACUGAGACACGGUCCAGACUCCUACGGGAGGCAGCAGUAGGGAAUCUUCCGCAAUGGGCGAAAGCCUGACGGAGCAACGCCGCGUGAGUGAUGAAGGUCUUCGGAUCGUAAAACUCUGUUAUUAGGGAAGAACAUAUGUGUAAGUAACUGUGCACAUCUUGACGGUACCUAAUCAGAAAGCCACGGCUAACUACGUG
rnacentral:rRNA from 1 species